UUCAGUAUUUUUAGUCAUACAGAAGCCAGCUACAGGUCCUGCUACCCUGCAGCUGCUUCUGUUGCUUCCUAAAUACUUGGUAUCUGGUCCUUAACCAUUUAUCACAGGGAACAUGAUGGCUGCACUCCAGGCAUCUCUGAAGAACCCUCCCAUCAACAGAAAGAACCAGGCAGUGAAGCAGGUGGAGGAGUGGGGUCUGUCGUGUGCAUUCUGAGUGCCAGGAAAAUGGUUCAAUCCAGUAACGAGCAGCUGCUGCCCUCCAGGGCCUGGGAAGUGCCGGUGCAAAACCCAGAGGGCCAAAUGCUGUUGCUGCCCUGUAGGCAGUGCCUGUCUCUUGGCUCGCCUUCUCUCUGCUGCUGUUGAAUCUGACCAGUAGUGCCUAUUGUGAUCUCUUUUUAUGUUCUCUUUUUGUUAAAUUCCUGAAAAGGAUGAAGGUGCAAUUUUGUUUCUAUCAGGAAUAUUUGGUACUGAUAAACAUUUCAGGGACAGCAUCUAGUGAUGUGUACAGCUUUGUCUUUAGGGUGAUUGGCAUUUGUGUGCAAUUAUGGCUGAUUUCAACCUCACUUUCCAAGCAGGUGCUAAGGCACUGAGGGCAAUGUCUUAAUUCUCUUUGCCAGCCAAGCAAUGUCUUGCCCUAA